GAAUUGUAAUACGACUCACUAUAGAGCGAAUUGGGCCCGACGUCGCAUGCUCCCGGCCGCCAUGGCGGCCGCGGGAAUUCGAUUGGAUUAGGCAUGCAAGUCGUGCGCGAAAGCCUUCGGGCGAGUAAAGCGGCGAACGGGUGAGUAACACGUAAUCAACCUGCCCUCGAGAUCGGAAUAGCCUCUGGAAACGGUGGGUAAUGCCGAAUGGACCCCGCGAAGGGCAUCCUUUGUGGGGUAAAUGGUGACUAGUUCACUGCUCGGGGAGGGGAUUGCGGCCUAUCAGCUUGUUGGUGGGGUAACGGCCCACCAAGGCGAUGACGGGUAGCCGGUCUGAGAGGACGACCGGUCACACUGGGACUGAGAUACUGCCCAGACUCCUACGGGAGGCUGCAGUCGAGAAUCUUCCGCAAUGGGCGAAAGCCUGACGGAGCGACACCGCGUGCAGGAUGAAGGCCUUCGGGUUGUAAACUGCUGUCACGCUAUAGGAACCGCGUGUGGGCAACUACACGUCUGACCAAAGCGAGAGGAAGCACCGGCUAACUCCGUGCCAGCAGCCGCGGUAAGACGGAGGGUGCAAACGUUGUUCGGAAUCACUGGGCAUAAAGCGCACGUAGGCGGUUCUCUAAGUUCGACGUGAAAGCCCCCGGCUCAACCGGGGAAUUGCGCCGGAUACUGGAGGACUCGAGGUCGGUUGGGGUGAGUGGAACUCCUGGUGGAGCGGUGAAAUGCGUAGAUAUCAGGAGGAACACCAGUGGCGAAAGCGGCUCACUGGACCGAUCCUGACGCUGAGGUGCGAAAGCUAGGGUAGCGAACGGGAUUAGAUACCCCGGUAGUCCUAGCCGUAAACGAUGGGCACUAAGUAGAGGGGUUUUAAUCACUAGUGAAUUCGCGGCCGCCUGCAGGUCGACCAUAUGGGAGAGCUCCCAACGCGUUGGAUGCAUAGCUUG
rnacentral:rRNA from 1 species